UUUUGCUCUUCUUUAAAUUAGGUAAAAAGGAAAUACUUACCACCAAUCCUGAGGAGCUCCUCCAUAGUGCUAGGUCUUGGGGCUACUACUGAAUAGCAAAACAAGUGAGCUGUUAUGAUCUCGGAGAGAAAAGGACAUACAAAGGUUUUUGUGCGACUGGUCCCAUGGACAACAAGGUUCGUCAUGUUUCCAAUGAGGUUCUUUUUGGGUCAGGGUAUCGAUCGGCAAUCAUAUAGUAAAAGCAUCCAGAAAAGUGAACCGCGAAUAGAGUUACCUGUAGUACAAAAAAGUUAUUGUACUAAGAACUUGUGCAGCUGUUUGAGACAAGAUAAAGUGAAUAUAUGCUGGAAGCUUACAGAGAAAAGCUUUGCACACCGUGUCCAGAAAUAAUUGAACCGAAUAUCCUUCUCAAGUCUGAUGAAAGAAAAACUAAAUCAUUUCCGUUCUUUUAUCGGUGAUAGAUAUACUACAAUAUGGAGAAGAUACAGACCUAGCAAACAAGGAACCGACACGAUGCAAACGCCAUAGUCUGAGCAUACUUAGAAGUUUGAAGCCAAGGCUAUUACCAUGUCUGUUGAAGAAGAAGCUGAUUGUUUGGAACGGAAAUGUUGAACAUGCAUCAAAAAUGAACCAUGUGGAUAGGUACCUGUUAAGUUAGACUGUAUGAAGCUCAAACAGCAUCUUUAGCAUUGUAAGGCUUAUGUAGAAAUUAGACAAAAUAAUGAAAUAUUUAUGAGUACUUUUGAAGAAAUAGGAGACAAAUUAUAGUUCAAAUGCUAACCUGACUGCUAUUCUCUUUGGUUCGUCAACAAGGAGAUAGGAUUUAGGGUCGACGAAAGCAACAAAGAAGGUGAGUGCAAUGUCAAUUGCAAAGAAGCUAUUGACUAUGUUAUCCACAAGAAACAUUGUGCUUGGCAAGUAAUGUAGGAAUGCAAACUCAAAUGGGCAGAUCCAAGCUGAGUAGAGAACCAGAACCAUCAGAAACAUCUCCCAUAGCCUAAGAAGAAAUAGUGAAAAGAGAGAAGAAAUAAACUGCUUGAUUGUUGAAAAAUGAAAAUGUGAGAAAAUAAUGAGUCUGAUGGGUUAGUAUACCUGUAAUGAGGAUCAUAUGGCGAAACAAUGUGCUUCCUGAGCUUGAUUCUAUGGUUUAUGGUUGCUCCAAGUGAUGGCAAAAGGUCAUCAUGUAAACUGUAUCCUUUGCUUUCCAAUUGGAAGCCAUUGCUGCAGAAGUGCUGGAAGUAGUUCGUGCAAGAGAACAUUAUGGUUGCAGUGUGAUGCGUUUGUUGUUUGAUGUUCAGUGGUUGGGACUUGGGAGUGGUCUUAUAUAUACAAGGUAGUGAAUGUUGCUGUCUAUCCGAUGUCCUUGAUUAAAUGGGCUGAUUGAUAACUGCAAGGCAAGGGGUUAAAUGAGGAAAAUGGCAAAAGGGCAUAAGAAAGGAGUUUACCUGGAUCUAAUCAUUAGGGGAAAGAGAAACGAUUGCAUGAUGAAUCGACAAAGUCAGGACAUUGAUUUUCUGGAAACAAUGGGUGGAGGCUUAUGGGAAGCUUACAAAGUAUGUGGUGUGGUGGCUUCAGUUACAUGUCUGUUAUAUGGAAUUCUUCAAAGUCUCUGGAUAGUGUUUGUCUGAACCAUAUAGAGGCACUGUGGUGUCAACUAUGGAAUAUAACUCCACUUUUUAAACCUUCCGUUAACAAUGUGAUCACCAUUUUAUGGUUCCUUAAUCAUGUCUGUGGUACAACUGUUUCAGAUUAUGCAUGUCUAGUCAAUGUGUUGUGGCCAAGAAAUUCUGUAGAGCUAUUCAUCUGAUCCUGAUGGAUGGUUAUAACCAAAACAAGGUUCUGACCAGGAAGACUAUAUUCUCUCUUCUUGGUGUACUUUUCCCCAAGAACCAUGUCAUUCUUCUUGGCAUUAUGGUGUUGCAUUCUGAUGGCAAUCAGAAGGAUGAAGAGACUGAACCUAGCCAAGUUUUAUUGUUUUCUAGCAUUGGCCAUGGAUCACUAUCCAUACUUGUGAUCCCAUGCAAGGUAGCAACUCAUUGAUUCAGCAUUUUGAAGAUGAAGUCAGCUUAUGUAGCAACUCAAAGGAAACCAAUGUAAUAUGCCAGCAACCGGUUAUCACAUAACUUCAAUCCCGACCCCAUCGGAUGAAUUUUUGCUCAAUGAAUACCAUGUGAUCCAGUCUUCGGGUAGAUGUAUCUGUUCAUGAUGAAUGUGUGGAUGAUGUAGAAUGAUUCGGGUGUCGAAACUGGCGGUGGGUGCCAUGACUGGAUGAUUAAGACGUAAAGAACGGGACAUCCAUUCUAGUCACACAGUCUAUUGUUGAGGAUGUUCUGUCUAUCGGCAAAAGCAGACGGACGACAGCAUUCAUAUGCACUGUUUGAGUUCUUUCCUGCACAGGUCAAGCACACAUGCAGCACUAUGGAGCUCUGGACCAUGUCAACAGUUUUAUGUUCCCUACUUCCUCUCCUAAUUGGACAAUCCAAGAAGCUACCAUAGAGGAUACAUCUCAAAUGCCAUAUCUCAGGAUCCCUGAUCCACACACUGGUUGGUUGAUCCUUUUAGCUGUAACCUCCAUCACUAGUUAGUGUAAGUCCCUUAUUUUUUUGAUGCUCUGGGCAAUAAAUUGGGAUCUCUUCAAUUCUUUGGUUAGCUCACGUCCUCUCAUGUCCCAUCUCAGGGUCCCUCCAAGCGAACCGGACCACAUAAUUGAAAGGUGGUGCUACGGCCUUAAGGAUUAGCCCACUGCUCCAUUGGUUCUUUUGUUAUUGUUCAUUGGUUGAUGGAUAAUCUAUUCCAAAAAUGAAUAUUAUUGUUCAACAUUUUGUUUUAUGUCCUCUGUCAUUAUGGUGUGAGAUGAACAUCUUGGUAAGCGGUAAGCAAUUUGAUUACAAGUCACAACCGCUGCAAGGUUUAGUUACUUUACUGGUCUAAUGCUCUUCCUCAUCAUUCAGUUUCAACUUUAUCAAGAUCCUGUGGAACUGUUGAUCGAUCAUGAACAACACGUUUUCAUUUCUGCUGUCUUUACUCGGACAUACGUUUUUGUGCAGUUGCGUGAUGAAGUGCAGCAUCAUCAAUUAUUUCAGUUGUUGUCUAUCUGACAGUAAAAGAAGGGCAAGACUCCGAUCAAGGUGGUCCAGCAAGUGUGUCCCAGCGACAACCAUUCGCCAUCAGAUAGCUACUGGACACUUCACCACUAGAGCAAUCAGAAAAGGCUAAGCGUGCAAAGGGCUUUCUCUUCCUAUGCGUUCUUUCACAGAUCAGGCUUGCGGAGCCCACCACAUGUGAGGUAAUGCCGGCUCCCACCCAGCAUCCCACAGUGACCUGUCAAGUUUACUAGAGGGACAAAAGCCAUUAUUUUAUGUGGUCGGAAACCACAUCACCCGUGAAAAUUUUCAAGGAUAGUCAUAUAUCACUUCGAGCCAUUUUCUCCUGUGCCCAGAUAUUAAUAUAUACUACGAACAGAUAGAUUCCUUCCUUUAUGAAAAUUAGAAAUGCUGUUGAUUGGACGACUCCAUGGAUGUCUCCGCAGGCCUUCUACAAUGGAGCUCGACCAUGAAGCUUCGCAGA